AUACGGAGGGUGCAAGCGUUACUCGGAAUCACUGGGCGUAAAGCGCGCGCAGGCGGUCUUUUAAGUUGGAUGUGAAAGCCUACGGCUCAACCGUAGAACUGCAUCCAAAACUAUUAGACUAGAGUGUGGGAGAGGAAGAUGGAAUUAGUUGUGUAGGGGUAAAAUCCGUAGAGAUAACUAGGAAUACCAAAAGCGAAGGCAAUCUUCUGGAACACUACUGACGCUGAGGCGCGAAAGCGUGGGGAGCAAACAGGAGUAGAUACCCUUGUAGUCC
rnacentral:rRNA from 1 species